rnacentral:rRNA from 1 species
AUUGAACGCUGGCGGCAGGCUUAACACAUGCAAGUCGAGCGGGGAAGGUUGCUUCGGUAACUGACCUAGCGGCGGACGGGUGAGUAAUGCUUAGGAAUCUGCCUAUUAGUGGGGGACAACGUUCCGAAAGGAACGCUAAUACCGCAUACGCCCUACGGGGGAAAGCAGGGGAUCUUCGGACCUUGCGCUAAUAGAUGAGCCUAAGUCGGAUUAGCUAGUUGGUGGGGUAAAGGCCUACCAAGGCGACGAUCUGUAGCGGGUCUGAGAGGAUGAUCCGCCACACUGGGAGUGAGACACGGCCCAGACUCCUACGGGAGGCAGCAGUGGGGAAUAUUGGACAAUGGGCGGAAGCCUGAUCCAGCCAUGCCGCGUGUGUGAAGAAGGCCUUUUGGUUGUAAAGCACUUUAAGCGAGGAGGAGGCUCCUUUAGUUAAUACCUAAAGAGAGUGGACGUUACUCGCAGAAUAAGCACCGGCUAACUCUGUGCCAGCCGCCGCCGUAACAC